rfam:Glarea lozoyensis 74030 unplaced genomic scaffold M7I_scaffold242, whole genome shotgun sequence.
ACUCUUAUAGCUCAACGGUAGAGCGAUAUACUGUUAAUCUCUAAUGAGAUGUCAGGUUAAUAUAUAGACAGGUGUUCGAAUCAUCUGAAGAGUU